rnacentral:rRNA from 1 species
CAGAUACCGCCCUAGUUCUGACCGUAAACGAUGCCAACUAGCGAUCCGCCAGUCGACUCAUCGCUCUGGUGGGGAGCUUCCCGGAAACGAAAGUCUUCCGGUUCCGGGGGAAGUAUGGUUGCAAAGCUGAAACUUAAAGGAAUUGACGGAAGGGCACCACCAGGAGUGGAGCCUGCGGCUUAAUUUGACUCAACACGGGGAAACUCACCCGGCCCGGACACCGUAAGGAUUGACAGAUUGAUAGCUUUUUCAUGAUUCGGUGGAUGGUGGUGCAUGGCCGUUCUUAGUUCGUGGAGCGAUUUGUCUGGUUUAUUCCGAUAACGAGCGAGACUCUGGCCUACUAAACAGUUGACGCAUUGCCACUGUGCGCACAACUUCUUAGAGGGAUUUUCGGUGUUUCCAACCGCACGAAAUUGAGCAAUAACAGGUCUGUGAUGCCCUUAGAUGUCCGGGGCUGCACGCGCGCUACACUGGCAAACGCAACGUGCCUGUCCUGCCCCGAAAGGAGCGGGUAAACCCCUGAAAUUUUGCCGUGAUUGGGAUCGGACAUUGCAACUAUUGUCCGUGAACGAGGAAUUCCUUGUAGGGGCGAGUCAUCAACUCGUCCCGAAUACGUCCCUGCCCUUUGUA